AACGAACGCUGGCGGCAGGCUUAACACAUGCAAGUCGAGCGCCUCGCAAGAGGAGCGGCAGACGGGUGAGUAACGCGUGGGAACCUACCUAUUGGUACGGAACAACUCAGGGAAACUUGAGCUAAUACCGUAUGUGUCCUUCGGGAGAAAGAUUUAUCGCCAACAGAUGGCCCGCGUCGGAUUAGCUAGUUGGUGGGGUAAUGGCCUACCAAGGCGACGAUCCGUAGCUGGUCUGAGAGGAUGAUCAGCCACACUGGGACUGAGACACGGCCCAGACGCCUACGGGAGGCAGCAGUGGGGACUAUUGGACAAUGGGCGCAAGCCUGUUCCGGCCAUGCCGCGUGAGUGAUGAAGGCCUUAGGGUUGUAAAGCUCUUUCAGCGGGGAAGAUAAUGACUGUACCAGCAGAAGAAGCCCCGGCUAACUUCGUGCCAGCAGCCGCCGUAAUAC
rnacentral:rRNA from 1 species